GAACGAACGCUUGCGGCAGGCCUAACACAUGCAAGUCGAGCGAGAACGGUUUCUUCGGAACUUAUUAAAAGCGGCGGACGGGUGAGUAACGCGUGGGAAACUGCCUUAUAGUGGGGGAUAACUAUUGGAAACGAUAGCUAAUACCGCAUACGCCCUACGGGGAAGAUUAUCGUCUAUAAGAUGUGCCCGCGUUAGAUUAGUACGUUGGUGAGGUAAUGGCUCACCAAGACUACGAUCUAUAGCUGGUUUGAGAGAAUGAUCAGCCGACAUUGGGACUGAGACACGGCCCAGACU
rnacentral:rRNA from 1 species